CGGAAAGGCGCCUGGGCUGGUGACGGUGUCAAGUGUAGGCAAGAAACACGGCUGAUCAAGAAGCGACUUGACCUCCCUCGCACAAGACUGAGUCCCUUUGCGGCAGGGGCCCUUCCUGCAGCGAAUCCUACUUGGAACCUUGCCUCAUGCGAUGUCUCUGUAAUUCUAGGCCACGGAAGCCUUGGGUCACCCUUUCAGCCUGGUUCUCUCCUGUGGUGCUGGCGUGUUUCUCUUGCCUGUUGGGGUCAGCUGCGUCCAACCUCGGCUCCUGCAGGAUUGCCCGGGCAACCCAGAGGAGAUGGGCGGGCGUGGAGGUCCUCCCUGGAUGACCCUUCCUACCAUUUCAACAUCGUUAGGAAUUUAACAGGCUUUUGCAAGAAGGCCCAGUCUCCCUGCUUCCUGGCCUAUUUAAAAGCACCGAUUUUCACAUUCUCCCAAAGGCUCCGGAAGUUUUACAGACAGCAUCUUUCUAGCCUCGCCCUGGGUCUCUUUCUGGUCAUUUGACUGAGGCUGAACACAGCCCAGAUGGGAGUUUCAUUCCCUUCACCUCCCCCAACUCCCAGCGGAGGGAGGCUGGCCCCAGACACAGGACACAGCUUCCUGACUCUGCAGGCAGGAGCCUGGCUUGUUGGUGAGUGGGCAUCCUCAUUGCUGCUGGAGUUUUCCAUCCUCGUUCCACAACAAGCCAAGUCAGCAAGUUGCUGCCAGGAACCUUCACACCUUGUGCUUUGGGAUCUGAGGGGAAACACACACACACCGGCACCACCCUCCCUGAGCCCCGCAUCAGCGGAGAGCAACCUACUGAGGAAAAUGAUGGAGUAAUUUCCUGGGCACACUUCAGGCGUGGUGCCAGGUAACAGGCCCUG
rnacentral:lncRNA from 1 species